rnacentral:misc_RNA from 1 species
GAUGAAGAACGCAGCGAAAUGCGAUAAGUAGUGUGAAUUGCAGAAUUCAGUGAAUCAUCGAAUCUUUGAACGCACAUUGCGCCCCUCGGUAUUCCGUGGGGCAUGCCUGUUCGAGCGUCAUUUAACCCCUCAAGCCUAGCUUGGUAUUGGGUGCUUGUCCCGCCUCUCGCGCGGCGACUCACCUCAAAGUCAUUGGCAGCCCGCAUCUCGCCGGCCGUGAGCGCAGCACAGACGCGCUCUUGGCAACGACGGAUCGGCUCUCCAAAAGCUUAUUUUAACCACUGACCUCGGAUCAGGUAGGGAUACCCGCUGAACUUAAGCAUAUCAAUAAGCGGAGGA